rnacentral:misc_RNA from 1 species
CCAUAAAUUAAGGAAGUUUGUCAUCCAAACUAAAGCCCCAAAAUAAGCUUCUCCAUUCCUUUACAACCACUCCACCUAAUAAAAGAUUUGUUGAAUAACAAAAUGCAACAAAAUAUCUAAACAUCAUCUAGCAAUAUAUUUUCAGACAGCAACAUCAUUUGCAUCAGUAAAACUAGUCAAAAAGAAAUCCAGCAACAAAACUUGCAUCAACUUUAAUAAAACAGAGACAGCAGCAGCUUCAACACUCCUCCUUGAUACAAGUGUUGGAGUACACACCAAGCCGAAGCCUAAGGAAUUCAAACCUCAACUUCUACAAUGCUUUGGUGAAAAUAUCAGUUGUUUGAUCUUCAGAAUUGCAGUGGAUAAUCAGUACUUCAUUUUCUUUCUCUGCCUCACGAAUUGCAUGAUAUUUGAUCUUGAUAUGUUUGGUUUUGCCAUGGAAGACUGGAUUCUUUACCAUGGCAACCGCUGAUUUGCUGUCACAAAGUAUCUCAGUUGGACCAUUUUGAUGAAAAUUCAGAUCAGCUAAAAUCUUCCUCAACCAAAUUGCUUGGUUAACAACAGCAGAUGCUGUAACAUACUCUGUCUCGGCAUUUAAUUGAGCAACUGAAGCUUGCUUUCUCAUUCCCCAGCAGAUGACAGCAGAAACAAUUGAGAAACAAAAACCAGUUGUACUCUUCACAUCUUCUAGUGAACCAGCCCAAUCACUAUCAAAGAAACCCAAUAACUUUACAUUGGUGGACCUCCUGUAAAACAAACCAAAGCCAACAGUCCCUUGCACAUAUCUUAUGACUCAUUUGGCUACUACAAGAUGGUUCUCAGUUAGUGAAUUCAUGAACCUCGACGAUAAACUGGUGGCAAACAUAAUAUCUAGCUUGGUGACCAAUAUACACUUCCUCCGUCAAAGAACCAUUCAAGAAAGCAGAUUUCACAUCUAAUUGAAAGACAUCCCAACCUUCACUUGCUGCUAAAACAAGAAUCAAUCCGAUAGUGUCAAAACAUGCAACUGGUGCAAAAGUUUCAGUGAAAUCGAUCCCUUGCUGCUGAGCAUAGCCUUUGACAACAUAUCUUGCUUUGUGCUUAUCGAUGGAGCCAUCAGAAUUCAAUUUCAAUUUGAAGACCCACUCAGUUCCUAUUACAUGUUUGCUUGCUGGUCUAGGAACUAAAAUCCAAUUGUCAUUUUUCAUAAUCAUCCUCAACUCCUCCUCCAUGGCAGCUCUCCACUCAGGAAUUUUCAAGGCUUCAUCCACCUGAGUUGGUUCAAGUGAGACAACAUUAUAUUUGUUGUAAAUUUUCUCUAGUGAUCUAGUUCCUCGAACUGUAUGAUCAUCUUCAUCAGAUUCAUCAUCAUAUGUAGCUGGAAGAUCAUACUCUUGCUAAAAUUGAUCUUGAUUAAAGACUAGUUGAGAAUUUUCUGGCUUCAUUUUACUCCAAUCCCACUUACCAUUCUCAUGAAAUUUGAUACUCCUGCUGACAUAUACUUGCUUAGUGACAGGAUUCAAAAUUUUAUAGGCUUUGGAUUCAUUGCUAUAACUGAGUAAAAUUCCUUUCUCAGCUCGUUCAUCCAGCUUGCCCCUUUUUGCUUUAGGAAUGAAGGAAUAACAUAUGCUACCAAAAACCUUGAGGUGGGCAACUGAAGGUUUGACUCCAAACCAAGUUUGAAAGGAGUUUUCUCAUCAAUACCUUUGGUUGGAAGCCUAUUUUGUAGAUAUAUAGCAGUAUUCACCGCUUCUGCCCAAUGAAUUUUUGGCAAUUUUUUCUCAAAUAAAAGACAUCUAGCCAUAUAUAUCACUGAUCAAUUCUUGCUUUCGCUCACACCAUUUUGUUGAGGUGUGUAGGCUACCGUCAACUAAUGAUGAAUGCCAACUUCUUGUAGAUAUUGUUUGAAUUGAUUGGAAGCAAAUACGGUCCCAUUAUCAGAUCUUAGAGUCUUGGUCAGGGAACCAGAUUGGUUCUCUACCAUUGACUUGAAUUUCAAAAACAUAUUAAACACUUCAAAUUUAAAUUGAAGGAAAUAAACCUAGCAAAAUCUGGUAUAGUCAUCGAUGAACAACAGAAAAUACUUAUUGCCAUUGUAAGAGGAGACACUCAUAGAACCACACACAUCAAUGUGGAUUAAUUCAAGUUUUGUAGAAGCUCUCCAUGCUUGAUCAACAGGGAUGGUGUCUGGCUGAGUUUGCCUAACUAACAGGCUUCACACAUGCUUGUAUUUUCAACUACAGAUGGCAAACCAACAACCAAGCUCUUGGAUUGAAGCAAUCUCAAUGAUUUGAGAUUGGUGUGGCCCAAUCGCUUAUGCCAUAAAUCAGAAUCCUCUCUAAGACUCAAGCAUGACUCUACUUUAGUUUUCUUAAAGUUUAGUGGAAAGCUUCUUUGAUGCAUUUCAACAGUGAAUAACUUUAUACCAGAAGGAUCAAUAAUUUUACAAGUUCAAUCCUUAAAUACCAACGUAUAGUUCUUAUCUAACAACUGACCAACAGAAAGCAGGCUUUGAUUUAAUUCAGGACCAUAAAGGACUUCAGAAAUAACCUUUGUACUUGAAGGAGUUUGCACAAUCACAUCUCCCUUGCCUUUAACAUCAACACGCCUUCCAUCCCCAAGUCUGACAUUUGAGGAGUAAUUUGAAUCCAAGCUAUUGAAACUUUUCAAGUUUGCUGUCAUGUGUUGUGUGCAACCACUGUCAACAAGCCACACUUCCUUUCCUUCAAUUGAGACACCAAAUUCUUUAAUCUCUGCAACAGCAAACAUCUUCUCUUCUUGAAUUUCAGAAUUUUCAAUGGCUUGUGCAGAGUGAGCUUGUGUUUGUUGAUUCUAGCUUGUUGAACAAACCUUCUCAAUGUGACCAAAUUGCCUGCAGAUAUUACACUGAGCUCCAGGUCUGAACCAGCAAUAAUUCUCAGUAUGGUUGGUCUUUUUACAAUGUGGACAAGGUGGAAAUCUAUCCUUCCUCCCCUAUUUCUUGAAAUUUCUCUUAUUCUUCCCCUUUUUAUCGGUUUGCUGGCUUUUUGAACCUCCUUCUUGCAUUUUUACUUUCUGAGUUGCUAUAAGAGCCUUCUCCCCAACACUUUCUUCUUUUCUAAAUGCUCUUCUCUGCUCAACAGCUUGCAGAGCAUUUGAAAGCUCAAUUAAAGAGAUCUGAGACAUGUCCCAACUGUCUUCAAGAGAAGAAAGUUUUACUUCAUAUUUUUUAGGGAGAGUCAGCGUAACCUUCUCCACAAUCCUCUUCUCUUCUAACUCUUCUCCUGACAACCUAAUUUGGUUUACUAUCUUCAUAACUCUGUCGAUAUAAUUCUUCACCUUCUCAGUGUCCUUCAUCGUCAAUAGCUCAAACUCUUUUCUCAAAUUAAACACUUGCAUCUGCCUUUUUUUGUCAAAUCCUUGAAACUCUAUCUUCAACUUCUCCCAUGCUUCAUGUGCUGUCUCAUGUGCC